rnacentral:rRNA from 1 species
AGAGUUUGAUCCUGGCUCAGGACGAACGCUGGCGGCGGGCCUAACACAUGCAAGUCGCACGAGAAAGCAUCCUUCGGGGUGUUAGUAAAGUGGCGGACGGGUGAGUAACACGUGGGUAAGCUACCUCAUAGUUUGGGACAACUCCGGGAAACUGGAGCUAAUACCGGAUGUGAACCCGAUAUCGCAUGAUAUUGGGUUUAAAGGUGGGGAUUCUUCGGAACCUACCGCUAAGAGAGGCACCCGCGGUCCAUUAGCUAGUUGGUGAGGUAACGGCUCACCAAGGCAACUAUGGAUAGCUGAUCUGAGAGGAUGAUCAGCCACACUGGAACUGAGACACGGUCCAGACUCCUACGGGAGGCAGCAGUGAGGAAUAUUGCGCAAUGGGCGAAAGCCUGACGCAGCCACGCCGCGUGAGUGAUGAAGGUUCUAUGAAUUGUGAAACUCUUUCAGCAGGGAAGAAUAAGGUUAAAACUAAUAAUUUUAACUGAUGACGGUACCUGCAGAAGAAGCCCUGGCUAAAUAUGUGCCAGCAGCCGCGGUAAUACAUAUAGGGCGAGCGUUGUCCGGAUUUACUGGGCGUAAAGGGCGUGUAGGUGGGUAGGUAAGUCAGUUGUGAAAGCCGGAAGCUUAACUUCUGAACUGCAACUGAUACUGCUUAUCUUGAGUACAGAAGAGGAAGACGGAAUUCCUGGUGUAGCGGUGAAAUGCGUAGAUAUCAGGAAGAACACCUGUGGCGAAAGCGGUCUUCUGGUCUGUUACUGACACUGAUGCGCGAAAGCGUGGGGAGCAAAAGGGAUUAGAGACCCCUGUAGUCCACGCCGUAAACGAUGCACAUUAGGUGUGGGGAGAUAUUAAUUCUCUCCGUGCCGAAGCUAACGCGUUAAGUGUGCCGCCUGGGGACUACGGCCGCAAGGCUAAAACUCAAAGGAAUUGACGGGGGCCCGCACAAGCGGUGGAGCAUGUGGUUUAAUUCGAUGCAACGCGAAAAACCUUACCUGGGUUUGACGUGCUUUUGCAGAGUGCAGAGAUGUACUUUUCUCCUUCGGGAGCAAUUGCAUAGGUGCUGCAUGGUUGUCGUCAGCUCGUGUCGUGAGAUGUUGGGUUAAGUCCCGCAACGAGCGCAACCCUUGCCUGUAGUUGCUAACAGAUAGUGCUGAGGACUCUACGGGGACUGCCGGUGAUAAACCGGAGGAAGGUGGGGAUGACGUCAAAUCAUCAUGGCCUUUAUGUCCAGGGCUACACACGUGCUACAAUGGCCGGUACAGAGGGUCGCAAACUUGCGAAAGUGAGCUAAUCCCCAAAGCCGGUCCCAGUUCGGAUUGCGGUCUGCAACUCGACUGCAUGAAGUCGGAAUCGCUAGUAAUCGCGGAUCAGCAUGCCGCGGUGAAUACGUUCUCGGGCCUUGUACACACCGCCCGUCACACCACGAAAGUUUGUUACACCCGAAGUGGCUGAGCUAACUCUAUUUAUUUAGAGAGGCAAGUCACCAAGGUGAGGUAAGCGACUGGGGUGAAGUCGUAACAAGGUA